rnacentral:rRNA from 1 species
UGAAGAGUUUGAUCAUGGCUCAGAUUGAACGCUGGCGGCAGGCCUAACACAUGCAAGUCGAACGGUAACAGGAAGCAGCUUGCUGCUUUGCUGACGAGUGGCGGACGGGUGAGUAAUGUCUGGGAAACUGCCUGAUGGAGGGGGAUAACUACUGGAAACGGUGGCUAAUACCGCAUAACGUCGCAAGACCAAAGAGGGGGACCUUCGGGCCUCUUGCCAUCAGAUGUGCCCAGAUGGGAUUAGCUUGUUGGUGAGGUAACGGCUCACCAAGGCGACGAUCCCUAGCUGGUCUGAGAGGAUGACCAGCCACACUGGAACUGAGACACGGUCCAGACUCCUACGGGAGGCAGCAGUGGGGAAUAUUGCACAAUGGGCGCAAGCCUGAUGCAGCCAUGCCGCGUGUAUGAAGAAGGCCUUCGGGUUGUAAAGUACUUUCAGCGGGGAGGAAGGUGUUGUGGUUAAUAACCGCAGCAAUUGACGUUACCCGCAGAAGAAGCACCGGCUAACUCCGUGCCAGCAGCCGCGGUAAUACGGAGGGUGCAAGCGUUAAUCGGAAUUACUGGGCGUAAAGCGCACGCAGGCGGUCUGUCAAGUCGGAUGUGAAAUCCCCGGGCUCAACCUGGGAACUGCAUUCGAAACUGGCAGGCUUGAGUCUUGUAGAGGGGGGUAGAAUUCCAGGUGUAGCGGUGAAAUGCGUAGAGAUCUGGAGGAAUACCGGUGGCGAAGGCGGCCCCCUGGACAAAGACUGACGCUCAGGUGCGAAAGCGUGGGGAGCAAACAGGAUUAGAUACCCUGGUAGUCCACGCCGUAAACGAUGUCUACUUGGAGGUUGUGCCCUUGAGGCGUGGCUUCCGGAGCUAACGCGUUAAGUAGACCGCCUGGGGAGUACGGCCGCAAGGUUAAAACUCAAAUGAAUUGACGGGGGCCCGCACAAGCGGUGGAGCAUGUGGUUUAAUUCGAUGCAACGCGAAGAACCUUACCUGGUCUUGACAUCCACGGAAGAAUUCAGAGAUGGAUUGGUGCCUUCGGGAACCGUGAGACAGGUGCUGCAUGGCUGUCGUCAGCUCGUGUUGUGAAAUGUUGGGUUAAGUCCCGCAACGAGCGCAACCCUUAUCCUUUGUUGCCAGCGGUCCGGCCGGGAACUCAAAGGAGACUGCCAGUGAUAAACUGGAGGAAGGUGGGGAUGACGUCAA